GAUGAACGCUAGCUACAGGCUUAACACAUGCAAGUCGAGGGGUAACGAGAGGAAAGCUUGCUUUCCUUGUCGACGACCGGCGCACGGGUGAGUAACGCGUAUCCAACCUGCCCCCAACUAGGGAAUAACCUUGCGAAAGUAAGACUAAUACCCUAUAAUUUCCUCAGAUGUCAUCUGACGAGGAAUAAAGAUUUAUCGGUUGUGGAUGGGGAUGCGUCUGAUUAGCUUGUUGGCGGGGUAACGGCCCACCAAGGCAACGAUCAGUAGGGGUUCUGAGAGGAAGGUCCCCCACAUUAGAACUGAGACACGGUCCAAACUCCUACGGGAGGCAGCAGUGAGGAAUAUUGGUCAAUGGGCGGAAGCCCGAACCAGCCAAGUAGCGUGCAGGAUGACGGCCCUAUGGGUUGUAAACUGCUUUUAUACAGGAAUAAAGUUAGCCACGUGUGGUUAUUUGUAGGUACUGUAUGAAUAAGGACCGGCUAAUUCCGUGCCAGCAGCCGCCUGUAA
rnacentral:rRNA from 1 species